rnacentral:rRNA from 1 species
AUUGAACGCUGGCGGCAUGCUUUACACAUGCCAGUCGAACGGUAACAGGCCUUCGGGUGCUGACGAGUGGCGAACGGGUGAGUAAUGCAUCGGAACGUGCCCAGCGGUGGGGGAUAACGCAGCGAAAGCUGUGCUAAUACCGCAUGUGAUCUGAGGAUGAAAGCGGGGGACCAGGCAGCAAUGUUUGGCCUCGCGCCUUUGGAGCGGCCGAUGUGGGAUUAGGUAGUUGGUGGGGUAAAGGCCUACCAAGCCGACGAUCUGUAGCUGGUCUGAGAGGACGACCACCCACACGGGGACUGAGACACGGCCCAGACUCCUACGGGAGGCAGCAGUGGGGAAUGGUGGACAAUGGGCGGAAGCCUGAUCCAGCAAUGCGGCGUGCGGGAAGAAGGCCUUCGGGUUGUAAACCGCUUUUGUACGGAACGAAAAGGCUCUGGCUAAUACCUGGGGCUGAUGACGGUACCGUAAGAAGAAGCACCGGCUAACUACGUG